GCUCUGGCACCUUAUCUUGAGCAGAAAGAAAGAAAGAGAUCUGACCGUCCAAAUUCAAAUUUGAUUUCAGGAACGUUCAAAUUUGAUUUUAGGAACGUGAUCUACGAAGUCCGAUCUACGUUUCUACCGAUUGGUUUGAGGAUUUACACGGUUUAAAGCUUCCUAAACACUUUCCUAGUGUUAGAUUUCAUUUGGGCAAAUUUUGGUGACGCAUUGCAAAGUGGUGCCUAGGAGACCUAGUACUUAAAUCCGU